rnacentral:rRNA from 1 species
UACGAAGGGGGCUAGCGUUGCUCGGAAUCACUGGGCGUAAAGGGUGCGUAGGCGGGUUUUUAAGUCAGGGGUGAAAUCCUGGAGCUCAACUCCAGAACUGCCUUUGAUACUGAGGAUCUUGAGUUCGGGAGAGGUGAGUGGAACUGCGAGUGUAGAGGUGAAAUUCGUAGAUAUUCGCAAGAACACCAGUGGCGAAGGCGGCUCACUGGCCCGAUACUGACGCUGAGGCACGAAAAGCGUGGGGAGCAAACAGGG